rnacentral:rRNA from 1 species
AGUCUAGCAACAGCUAGAGUUUGAUCCUGGCUCAGGACGAACGCUGGCGGCGUGCUUAACACAUGCAAGUCGAACGGAGAUAGGAAGAGCUUGCUCUUCCGAAUCUUAGUGGCGGACGGGUGAGUAACGCGUGAGCAACCUGCCUUUCAGAGGGGGACAACGUUUGGAAACGAACGCUAAUACCGCAUAAGAUCGUAGGGCCACAUGGUCCAGCGACCAAAGGAGCAAUCCGCUGAAAGAUGGGCUCGCGUCUGAUUAGAUAGUUGGUGGGGUAACGGCCUACCAAGUCGACGAUCAGUAGCCGGACUGAGAGGUUGAACGGCCACAUUGGGACUGAGAUACGGCCCAGACUCCUACGGGAGGCAGCAGUUAGGAAUAUUGGGCAAUGGAGGAAACUCUGACCCAGCAACGCCGCGUGAAGGAAGAAGGUUUUCGGACUGUAAACUUCUGAUCUAAGGGAAAAAGAAAGUGAUGGUACCUUAGGAGAAAGCCACGGCUAACUACGUGCCAGCAGCCGCGGUAA